rnacentral:rRNA from 1 species
CGGCGUGCUUAACACAUGCAAGUCGAACGGAAAGGCCCUGCUUUUGUGGGGUGCUCGAGUGGCGAACGGGUGAGUAACACGUGAGUAACCUGCCCUUGACUUUGGGAUAACUUCAGGAAACUGGGGCUAAUACCGGAUAGGAGCUCCUGCUGCAUGGUGGGGGUUGGAAAGUUUCGGCGGUUGGGGAUGGACUCGCGGCUUAUCAGCUUGUUGGUGGGGUAGUGGCUUACCAAGGCUUUGACGGGUAGCCGGCCUGAGAGGGUGACCGGCCACAUUGGGACUGAGAUACGGCCCAGACUCCUACGGGAGGCAGCAGUGGGGAAUAUUGCACAAUGGGCGGAAGCCUGAUGCAGCAACGCCGCGUGCGGGAUGACGGCCUUCGGGUUGUAAACCGCUUUCGCCUGUGACGAAGCGUGAGUGACGGUAAUGGGUAAAGAAGCACCGGCUAACUACGUGCCAGCAGCCGCGGUGAUACGUAGGGUGCGAGCGUUGUCCGGAUUUAUUGGGCGUAAAGGGCUCGUAGGUGGUUGAUCGCGUCGGAAGUGUAAUCUUGGGGCUUAACCCUGAGCGUGCUUUCGAUACGGGUUGACUUGAGGAAGGUAGGGGAGAAUGGAAUUCCUGGUGGAGCGGUGGAAUGCGCACAUAUCAGGAGGAACACCAGUGGCGAAGGCGGUUCUCUGGGCCUUUCCUGACGCUGAGGAGCGAAAGCGUGGGGAGCGAACAGGCUUAGAUACCCUGGUAGUCCACGCUGUAAACGGUGGGUACUAGGUGUGGGGUCCAUUCCACGGGUUCCGUGCCGUAGCUAACGCUUUAAGUACCCCGCCUGGGGAGUACGGCCGCAAGGCUAAAACUCAAAGGAAUUGACGGGGCCCCGCACAAGCGGCGGAGCAUGCGGAUUAAUUCGAUGCAACGCGUAGAACCUUACCUGGGUUUGACAUGGAUCGGGAGUGCUCAGAGAUGGGUGUGCCUCUUUUGGGGUCGGUUCACAGGUGGUGCAUGGCUGUCGUCAGCUCGUGUCGUGAGAUGUUGGGUUAAGUCCCGCAACGAGCGCAACCCUUGUUCACUGUCGCCAGCACGUUAUGGUGGGGACUCAGUGGAGACCGCCGGGGUCAACUCGGAGGAAGGUGGGGAUGACGUCAAGUCAUCAUGCCCCUUAUGUCCAGGGCUUCACGCAUGCUACAAUGGCUGGUACAGAGAGUGGCGAGCCUGUGAGGGUGAGCGAAUCUCGGAAAGCCGGUCUCAGUUCGGAUUGGGGUCUGCAACUCGACCUCAUGAAGUCGGAGUCGCUAGUAAUCGCAGAUCAGCAACGCUGCGGUGAAUACGUUCCCGGGGCCUGUACACACCGCCCGUCAAGUCAUGAAAGUUGGUAACACCCGAAGCCGGUGGCCUAACCGUUGUGGGGGAGCCGUCGAAGGUGGGACUGGUGAUU